CAAUAGCGUAUAUUAAAGUUGUUGCAGUUAGAACGCUCGUAGUCGGAUUUCGGGGUGGGCCGACCGGUCUGCCGAUGGGUACGCACUGGUCGGCGCGUCCUUCCUUCCGGAGACCGUGCCUACUCUUAACUGAGCGGGGGCGGGAGACGGAUCGUUUACUUUGAAAAAAUCAGAGUGUUUCAAGCAGGCAGCUCGCUCUUGCAUGGAUUAGCAUGGGAUAAUGAAAUAGGACUUUGGUGCUAUUUUGUUGGUUUCGAACACCGAAGUAAUGAUUAACAGGGACAGUCAGGGGCACUCGUAUUCCGCCGAGAGAGGUGAAAUUCUCAGACCAGCGGAAGACGAACUACUGCGAAAGCAUUUGCCAGGGAUGUUUNCACUGG
rnacentral:rRNA from 1 species